AGAACGUUCAGGAAACGAGUUAGAGACAAUACAACAAACUGAAACGACACACACUGGUUCUGCACUUGCAUUUAAUGACCCAUCCAAUGAUCCCGUGAACAAUAAAUGGAGUUUUAACCUUGAAAUGCUGAGGCCUCGAUUUACUAAAGGUUUGCGUGCGAUGACUCCGUUUACACUGUACUGUAGUUUGGCUCUUGUGGGCGUGGCCUGUUCAUUUAUUUACAGUUCCAGUGAGGAAUAGUACUAAUCGCCUGCAGCCCAGUCUAUGCGCACCAUUCUGUUUAAAAUGUAUUUAAGUUUGAUUGACAUGUCACGUGCUCGGAUUCGUACUAGCUACUCAUGUUGCGUUAGCAAAGAAAGCUAAAUGUACGAGCUAGGUUCGCUCGAAAGAUGCACCGGCGAUCUCCUUCCUUCCAAGCUUUAUUUGUUUCACAAUGUCGCUAUAUACACGUUUACCGAGAGGUCGUAUAUGACAGGAUGAAAUGAAACCGGGCUCGUGUGCAUCAAACAGUCAGUCAAUGGGAACUAAUUGCGGCUAGGAACUAAGGUUGAGAGUGCGGAACAUAAAAAAACAAACAAAACGCACACACACACACACACACACGCCUUUGGAUUGGUCCAAAGAACCACUUGAGCCAAUUGUUAGGAUUCGUCGCUCACUGCGUGCUCUUAAUUAUUGAUCAUUAUUUACUCGUGGAACACUUUCCUAAAUAUCUCAGUCAGAGAAUAAAUAAAUGAAGCAACAGUGUCUGGUCAGUGUCACACCAUGCUCAGGAUCAUCACACACACACACAUUAGAUAUGUACAUUCCUGCAUCAUGUAGUCCUUGUAAACAUCAAACCACUGUUUUUAACACACCCUUGCGUGAACGGACAAACUGUAUUUCUUUUAAACCAGUAGCCGAAUAAAUAAAUAAAUAAAUAAAUAAAUAAAUAAAUAACCCAAAAGUAAAACAAUCUCUUCUUCUGUUGCGUAGCUUUAGCAUUGUUCUUGUACUAUAGGCUAGUGAGUGAUGCUAAGUAGAAAAAAUUAAAAAAUAAAAACCCCUUAGCUGAUAUUCUCACUAUUUAAAGGAUUACUAUUUAAAUUAGAAACCGAAUUCGACUGGUUCACAUUUUAACUAGCUAGCAGCUAAUCGGCUAGGUUGCUACUUAUGAUCGCUAGCAACCGCUAAAACUCAGCGGAAUGGCCGAGGUAUAGCUAGCGAGCAAGCGCUUCCCUUCCGGGUCGUUCCAAUACGACGUGCGAAUGUCACGCGAAGCGAAAAGAACCGCUAGGAGAAGCUAGCUCCUUUUCUGCUAGCAAGAUUUUCUUCACGUUCGUGCUGACUGC
ensembl:lncRNA